rnacentral:rRNA from 1 species
UACGGAGGGUGCAAGCGUUAUCCGGAUUCACUGGGUUUAAAGGGUGCGUAGGAGGGCAGGUAAGUCAGUGGUGAAAUUUUCGGUGGCUUAACCCGAAAACUGCCAUUGAUACUAUCUGUCUUGAAUGCGGUGGAGGUGAGCGGAAUAUGUCAUGUAGCGGUGAAAUGCUUAGAUAUGACAUAGAACACCGAUUGCGAAGCAGCUCGCUACACCUGCAUUGACUCUGAGGCACGAAAAGCGUGGGGAUCAAACAGG